GACGAACGCUGGCGGCGUGCUUAACACAUGCAAGUCGAACGGAAAGGCCCAGCUUGCUGGGUGCUCGAGUGGCGAAAGGGUGAGUAACAAGUGGGUGAUCUGCCCCUAACUUUGGGAUAAGCUUGGGAAACUGGGUUUAAUAGUGGAUAGGACAAUAGUUUAGUGUCGGUUGUGGAAAGGUUUUUCGGUGAGGGAGGAGCCCGCGGCCGAUCAGCUUGUUGGUGGGGUAAUGGCCUACCAAGGCGUCGACGGGUAGCCGGCCUGAGAAUAUGGACGGCCACAGUAAUACUGAGAUACUGCCCAGACUCCUCCGGGAGGCAGCAGUGGGGAAUAUUGCACCCUGGGCGCCAGCCUGCUGCCGCGCCCCCACCUUGGAGAUGACGGCCUUCGGGUUGUACACCUCUUUCGACAGGGACGAAGCUUUGGUGACGGUACCUGUAUAAGAAGCACCGGCUAACUACGUG
rnacentral:rRNA from 1 species